AGAAUCAACGCUGGCGGCGUGCCUAACACAUGCAAGUCGAACGAGAAAGUGGAGCAAUCCAUGAGUAAAGUGGCGCACGGGUGAGUAACACGUGACUAACCUACCCUUGAGUGGGGAAUAACUUCGGGAAACCGAGGCUAAUACCGCAUAACACCUACGGGUCAAAGGAGCAAUUCGCUUAAGGAGGGGGUCGCGGCAGAUUAGUUAGUUGGCGGGGUAAUGGCCCACCAAGACAGUGAUCUGUAUCCGGCCUGAGAGGGCGCACGGACACACUGGAACUGAAACACGGUCCAGACUCCUACGGGAGGCAGCAGUGGGAAUUUGCGCAAUGGGGGAAACCCUGACGCAGCAACGCCGCGUGGAGGAUGAAGUCUCUUGGGACGUAAACUCCUUUCGAUCGGGACGAUAAUGACGGUACCGAGAGAAGAAGCCCCGGCUAACUUCGCGCCAGCAGCCGC
rnacentral:rRNA from 1 species